rnacentral:rRNA from 1 species
CAGCCGUAAACUAUGCGCGUUAGGUGUAUCGGUGACCACGAGUUACCGAGGUGCCGAAGGGAAACCGUGAAACGUGCCGCCUGGGAAGUACGGUCGCAAGGCUGAAACUUAAAGGAAUUGGCGGGGGAGCACCACAACAGGUGGAGCCUGCGGUUUAAUUGGACUCAACGCCGGGAAGCUCACCGGAUAGGACAGCAGAAUGAUUGCCGGGCUGAAGACCCUGCAUGACUAGCUGAGAGGUGGUGCAUGGCCGUCAGUGACU